rnacentral:tRNA from 1 species
ACCUGGGUGGCUCUGUCGGUUGAGCGUCUGACUUCAGCUCAGGUCAUGAUCUCAUGGUUCGUGGGUUCGAGCCCCACAUUGGGCU